rnacentral:rRNA from 1 species
GGGGGAUAACUAUUGGAAACGAUAGCUAAUACCGCAUAAGAGUAGAUGUUGCAUGACAUUUGCUUAAAAGGUGCAAUUGCAUCACUACCAGAUGGACCUGCGUUGUAUUAGCUAGUUGGUGGGGUAACGGCUCACCAAGGCGACGAUACAUAGCCGACCUGAGAGGGUGAUCGGCCACACUGGGACUGAGACACGGCCCACACUCCUACGGGAGGCAGCAGUAGGGAAUCUUCGGCAAUGGACGGAAGUCUGACCGAGCAACGCCGCGUGAGUGAAGAAGGUUUUCGGAUCGUAAAGCUCUGUUGUAAGAGAAGAACGAGUGUGAGAGUGGAAAGUUCACACUGUGACGGUAUCUUACCAGAAAGGGACGGCUAACUACGUGCCAGCAGCCGCGGUAAUACGUAGGUCCCGAGCGUUGUCCGGAUUUAUUGGGCGUAAAGCGAGCGCAGGCGGUUAGAUAAGUCUGAAGUUAAAGGCUGUGGCUUAACCAUAGUACGCUUUGGAAACUGUUUAACUUGAGUGCAAGAGGGGAGUGUGGAAUUCCAUGUGUAGCGGUGAAAUGCGUAUAUAUAUGGAGGAACACCGGUGGCGAAAGCGACUCUCUGGCUUGUAACUGACGCUGAGGCUCGAAAGCGU